UUGAUCCUGGCUCAGAAUCAACGCUGGCGGCGUGCCUAACACAUGCAAGUCGAACGAGAAAGUGGAGCAAUCCAUGAGUAAAGUGGCGCACGGGUGAGUUACACGUGACUAACCUACCCUUGAGUGGGGGAUAACCUAGAGAAAUCUGGUCUAAUACCGCAUAAUACCUUCGGGUCAAAGGAGCAAUUCGCUUAAGGAGUGGGUCGCGGCCGAUUAGUUAGUUGGCGGGGUAAUGGCCCACCAAGACUGUGAUCGGUAUCCGGCCUGAGAGGGCGCACGGACACACUGGAACUGAAACAUGGUCCAGACUCCUACGGGAGGCAGCAGUGGGGAAUUUUGCGCAAUGGGGUAAACCCUGACGCAGCAACGCCGCGUGGAGGAUGAAGUCCCUUGGGACGUUAACUCCUUUCGAUCGGGACGAUGAUGACGGUACCGAGAGAAGAAGCCCCUGCUAACUUCGUGCCAGCAGCCGCGGUAAUU
rnacentral:rRNA from 1 species